AGUGAACGCUGGCGGUAGGCCUAACACAUGCAAGUCGAACGGCAGCACAGUAAGAGCUUGCUCUUACGGGUGGCGAGUGGCGGACGGGUGAGGAAUACAUCGGAAUCUACUUUUUCGUGGGGGUUAACGUAGGGAAACUUACGCUAAUACCGCAUACGACCUACGGGUGAAAGCAGGGGAUCUUCUGACCUUGCGCGAUUGAAUGAGCCGAUGUCGGAUUAGCUAGUUGGCGGGGUAAAGACCCACCAAGGCGACGAUCCGUAGCUGGUCUGAGAGGAUGGUAGGCCACAUUGGAAGUGAGACAGGGUCAAGGCUCCUACGGGAGGCAGCAGUGGGGAAUGUUGGACAAUGGGCGCAAGCCUGAUCCAACCAGCCCGCGUGUGUGAAGAAGGCCUUCGGGUUGUAAAGCCCUUUUGUUGGGAAAGAAAAGCAGCAGGUUAAUACCACGCUGUUCUGACGGUACCCAAAGAAUAAGCACCGGCUAACUUCGUG
rnacentral:rRNA from 1 species